GAAUGCUGACAUAAGUAACGAUAAAGCGGGUGAAAAGCCCGCUCGCCGGAAGACCAAGGGUUCCUGUCCAACGUUAAUCGGGGCAGGGUGAGUCGACCCCUAAGGCGAGGCCGAAAGGCGUAGUCGAUGGGAAACGGGUUAAUAUUCCCGUACUUGGUGUUACUGCGAAGGGGGGACGGAGAAGGCUAUGUUGGCCGGGCGACGGUUGUCCCGGUUUAAGCGUGUAGGUGUGUGUUCCAGGUAAAUCCGGUUCACUUUAACACUGAGGCGUGACGACGAGGCACUACGGUGCUGAAGCAACAAAUGCCCUGCUUCCAGGAAAAGCCUCUAAGCAUCAGGUAACAUCAAAUCGUACCCCAAACCGACACAGGUGGUCAGGUAGAGAAUACCAAGGCGCUUGAGAGAACUCGGGUGAAGGAACUAGGCAAAAUGGUGCCGUAACUUCGGGAGAAGGCACGCUGACACGUAGGUGAAGUGAUUUACUCAUGGAGCUGAAGUCAGUCGAAGAUACCAGCUGGCUGCAACUGUUUAUUAAAAACACAGCACUGUGCAAACACGAAAGUGGACGUAUACGGUGUGACGCCUGCCCGGUGCCGGAAGGUUAAUUGAUGGGGUCAGCGCAAGCGAAGCUCCUGAUCGAAGCCCCGGUAAACGGCGGCCGUAACUAUAACGGUCCUAAGGUAGCGAAAUUCCUUGUCGGGUAAGUUCCGACCUGCACGAAUGGCGUAAUGAUGGCCAGGCUGUCUCCACCCGAGACUCAGUGAAAUUGAACUCGCUGUGAAGAUGCAGUGUACCCGCGGCAAGACGGAAAGACCCCGUGAACCUUUACUAUAGCUUGACACUGAACAUUGAGCCUUGAUGUGUAGGAUAGGUGGGAGGCUUUGAAGUGUGGACGCCAGUCUGCAUGGAGCCGACCUUGAAAUACCACCCUUUAAUGUUUGAUGUUCUAACGUGGACCCGUUACCCGGGUUGCGGACAGUGUCUGGUGGGUAGUUUGACUGGGGCGGUCUCCUCCUAAAGAGUAACGGAGGAGCACGAAGGUUGGCUAAUCCUGGUCGGACAUCAGGAGGUUAGUGCAAUGGCAUAAGCCAGCUUGACUGCGAGCGUGACGGCGCGAGCAGGUGCGAAAGCAGGUCAUAGUGAUCCGGUGGUUCUGAAUGGAAGGGCCAUCGCUCAACGGAUAAAAGGUACUCCGGGGAUAACAGGCUGAUACCGCCCAAGAGUUCAUAUCGACGGCGGUGUUUGGCACCUCGAUGUCGGCUCAUCACAUCCUGGGGCUGAAGUAGGUCCCAAGGGUAUGGCUGUUCGCCAUUUAAAGUGGUACGCGAGCUGGGUUUAGAACGUCGUGAGACAGUUCGGUCCCUAUCUGCCGUGGGCGCUGGAGAACUGAGGGGGGCUGCUCCUAGUACGAGAGGACCGGAGUGGACGCAUCACUGGUGUUCGGGUUGUCAUGCCAAUGGCACUGCCCGGUAGCUAAAUGCGGAAGAGAUAAGUGCUGAAAGCAUCUAAGCACGAAACUUGCCCCGAGAUGAGUUCUCCCUGAGACUUAGAGUCUCCUGAAGGAACGUUGAAGACGACGACGUUGAU
rnacentral:rRNA from 1 species